UUCUCUUCCCAUUGUUGAUGUUGCAGGUUAAGCGCGUGCUUUUCUAUUUCUUUGUUGAGCUGUGCUAUCCGUUUACGCAGUCUCCUAUUGUGUCUCUGUUGUUUCCAUCGGUGCUGCAGGUGAGUUUUGGCUUCCCACAUGUGCAGCAACCGGGAGUCUAUUGUCUCGAGCCCAGCUGUCGACGGGAUCGUUUGCGUCAUGCGCUCGAUAUCCCACCGCAGUUGGUCGGUCCAUUGUUCUAUAUCUUUGAUGUCUUCCAUCUGUUUCUCAUCACGAUAUUUGCGUAGCCGAUUCCAGUUGGUGAUCUUCAUUUGACGACCGGUAUUGUGUUCCUGCGGACCAUCUUCUGCUUCUAUGGAAAUAAUGUAGUGAUCGCUCCCUAAGUCUUGCAUGGUGUUUGUCCAAGUGACUUUGCGUGUGUUGCACGUGAAAGUAAGGUCCGGCGUCGUGUCAGUGCUUACGCUGUUGCCCUGCCUUGUUGGUGCCGCGGGAGGACAAGUGCACGAAAUAUGGAGUUAGAUUCGCGACUCACAAUUUUGGAACUGUCUUUGUUCUUCACUCUCACUCCUUUGUGACAGUAAAGACAUGCUACAUUUUCAUUGAGUGAAUACGGAUUGCAAGAUAGAGGAACUUGGAUAUUAGCAGGAUGUCUCAAGAGAAAAGAAGAUUUUAUUGCUUACUAUUCAGGUUUCACCGGACGGCAGAAAAGGUGGCCAGAAUGGGAAGAAGCCCUCAAAAGCCCGGAUCUCAAACUCCAACUCAAGGCCGUCCAGAGGCUCCAAGAACUGGGGGAGCGUCACCACGUUCCCGUCCCUACUUGGGCGUCGCCUACGGUUUCUGCCGGAGGAGUUCCCCCCGUGGAAUCUCCAACGGCUUGAAACUCCUCAGGACUUCAAUAAAGUUCU